AUUGAACGCUGGCGGCAGGCUUAACACAUGCAAGUCGAGCGGGGUGAUGGUGCUUGCACUAUCACUUAGCGGCGGACGGGUGAGUAAUGCUUAGGAAUCUGCCUAUUAGUGGGGGACAACAUCUCGAAAGGGAUGCUAAUACCGCAUACGUCCUACGGGAGAAAGGAGGGGAUCACUUGUGACCUUGGGCUAAUAGAUGAGCCUAAGUCGGAUUAGCUAGUUGGUGGGGUAAAGGCCUACCAAGGCGACGACCUGUAGCGGGUCUGAGAGGAUGAUCCGCCACACUGGGACUGAGACACGGCCCAGACUCCUACGGGAGGCAGCAGUGGGGAAUAUUGGACAAUGGGGGGAACCCUGAUCCAGCCAUGCCGCGUGUGUGAAGAAGGCCUUAUGGUUGUAAAGCACUUUAAGCGAGGAGGAGGCUCUUUUGGUUAAAACCCAAGAUGAGUGGACGUUACUCGCAGAAUAAGCACCGGCUAACUCUGUGCCAGCCGCCGCCGUAA
rnacentral:rRNA from 1 species